GUAACAAGCUGGCUCUAGUGUUCUCCUGGCCUGGAGACAGAAUGCAUAUAGAAUGUCUAUUUUGCAGGAUUUCGGAGAGGCUAUCACCAGAGCACUGGACACUGCCUGAUGAAUUUGUGGUCACAGUGAGUGAUGAAAAUCCUCUACUAGUUACAGAAAGAUUUAGAUCUGCAUAGAGCCAAGACUUGAACCAAGGCCAUCUUCCUCCAGGUACCUCUAAAUAUAUGAUUUCCAGUGGACAAGGAUGUGGUUUUCAGCAGUUGUCUAUAUUCAGACAAAGAGUCAAAUUUGGGCAAUUCAGGGCUGCUGCACAGAUUUCACCUGUGGGAUCCCAUCAGCAAGGAGAAAAGAAGAGACAAUCAAUCAGAGAGAAGGAAUGGAGAAGGGGAACAUGAAUUCAAUAGAGGAAUUAAAUUUGAAAAAGCUUGGGUUAUAUAAAAUGAUAUAUUUUUUAUCAAGGACCAAUUUUUGUGUACUUUUGAGGAAUGAUUCUGUAAUUAUAUAAAAACA
rnacentral:lncRNA from 1 species